UACGGGGGGUGCGAGCGUUGUCCGGAAUCACUGGGCGUAAAGGGCGCGUAGGUGGUCUGAUAAGGGUGUGGUGAAAGCCCGGGGCUCAACCCCGGGUCGGCCGUGCCGACUGUUAGACUAGAGUACUGUAGGGGCAGGCGGAAUUCCGGGUGUAGCGGUGGAAUGCGUAGAGAUCCGGAGGAAGACCGGUGGCGAAGGCGGCCUGCUGGGCAGUUACUGACACUGAGGCGCGACAGCGUGGGGAGCAGACAGG
rnacentral:rRNA from 1 species